AGAGAACAGAUUGCUGGGCUGACGGAUCGACAGAAGGCGGAGGCGGUAGGGGUGUUGGUGUAACUACACAUGCGCGCUCGGCUUCUGGCAGUCUUCAGGGUUGCUUUCUUCUGGAGGUUACGGGAAGGAAGGGUGAGCGUGCGCAUGCGUGGGCCCCCCUCCCCAACCUAGGACCUGGUUACCUAGGAGACGGCGAGGCGUGCUCUCUCUCCAGGCUUUGGUUGUGUUUCCUCUUUGCUCCGGGCCGUAGCGGCUGAGGCAGCGUUACCACAGUGAGCUUGUAUUUUAUUCAUAAUAAAGAAAAUAUUUCCACGCUUAAAAAAAGUUUGCAAAAUAAAAGAUAUGCCCCUACCUGGGCACCCCACCCCAAUAAGUGGUCUACAACAGGCAGGUGUGAUGAGGAAACUGAGACUCAGAGAAAAGUGACUUGCCCAAGGUCACUUCACUGUAAUAGAAGAUCUGGGAUUUAAACCAGGUGUGACCCAGAGCCCCUGCUCUCCUGCAUGCAGGACUCUGCAAAGAGACUGUGGGCUUCAAGGAGCAAAUUGCCCAAUCACUUCUGUAGAAGAGUGAUGAAGAGGACCUGGCCGAGGCUGCAGCUGUAGUGCUGUUGCUGCCCUCCCGGGCUUGGACCUGCCCCGUUGCUGCCACCCAGUCCAGAGGAGGAGAUGGAAGGGGGCAUGGCGAGCCACAGAGCUAUGGGACAAGAGGAGGAGCCCCGGUGACGUGGCUGAGGAGAGACGUGUUCAUCUCCACAAAGGACGGAGCUGCCUGGGUGGGGGUCUCUGGAACACUGGGCAAAAUUGACCUUACCAAGAGGUCAUCUCCUGGGCGUACCUGAGACCCCUCCUGACCUUGGAGCCCUCUUAGGCUUCUUAGGGAGCCCUGGGUUAAGGCUUGACUCAAAUUCUUCUCACUUCCUGAUGGGUUAUCCCCUGCUAGCUCACCUCCCUGCCUCCAGUCUCCUCUCAACGUCAUUCUCAACCCUUCUGGUGGAUUUCAUCCUCCUAAGAGACCACUUAGGUCAUGUGUUCUAGCCCCAGUGUCUCCACAUCUCUUGCCUUUCAAUUCCUCACCUUUACCUUUUUCUUCUCAACCUCCAAAUAUUAUCGAGUCUCCCCAGCCAAAAAACAGACGGGUAAAGAAAAAAAAACCCUUCCCCUGUCUCGACUUUCCCCUCUCAACUCCCAAACUUCUUGGUACUCCUGGUGUCUGCUUCAUCUCCCACUUGUGUGUAACCCCGGCGGUCUGUUUUUUGCCCACUAUCCCUUCUCUCCAUGGAUACCCCACUAACCGCCUCUGAGUCAGAUGACCUUGUCUUAGCUCCCAUAUGCAGCCAGCUACAGAUGUGAUGCUCCGGGCACCUACUGUGUCAGGCCCUGGGGAGGGAGUGCGGGACCUCCAGACCAGUCCCUGCCCUGCCCUUAGGGAACACCCUUCCCAAGGGUGGACAGACCUUGAAAGGUGACUACAGAUGAGGACCGAAAUCAUUCCAGGUGAUGAGGAUGUUGAGAGGAUGGACAGAGUGUACUGUAUCAUGCAGGGCCCAACCAGGGAAACAGAACUCAUUCCGAGUUUUUAAACAUGGAAUUUCACACAAGGAAUUGGUUACACAGAGGUUGGAAGAGCUGAGAAACCCAGGAGGAGAUGGCAAGGUAACCAGGAAUCCACUAUUAGUCCUGGGUUGGGGGGAAAACAGUGUAAUCAGUGGCGGGGGGGCCAGGGUCACUUGGAAGAAGUUGGAACCACAGAGGAGAUACAAUCCACUUCCAUAGAUACCACUCAGGACUGAGCGGGAUGAAGAUUCUCCUCUCCUUCCACGUUCCACCCUCUGGUCUCCUGCCAGAGCCUCUCAUUGGUCCGGAGCCUGCAGGGGUCAGUCACCUGCAGUGCAGAGCAAAGAAGGUGAGGACCAGAUGGGAGGGCAACAGCCCAGGACCACCACCAGGAUGGGAUGGGAGAGGAUGAGGGGGCGACUGACUUAGUGGAGGGGGCUCAGAGAAGGCUUCCCUGAGGAACUAAGCUGAGACCUGCAAGGUGAAGGGGAAUUGGAGGAGAAAACGUUCCGAGCAAUAACUGACAUUUUAAAAAGACUAAUUUUUUUAGAGCAUGAGGUUCCCAGCAAAAUUGAGCAGAAGGUGCAGAGAUUUGCUAUCUACCCCCUGCCCCCGCACACGCACAGCCUCCCCACUAUCAGCAUCACACACCAGAGUGGUACCUUUGUUACAGUCGAUGAACCUACACUGACACGUUGUAAUCACCCAAAGUCCACUGUUUAUAUUAGGGUUCACUUUUGCUGUUGUAUGGUCUAUAAUACAGUCUAUGGGUUUGGACAAGUGUAUGAUGACAUGUAUUCAUUAUUAUAAUACCAUACAGAGUAUUUUCACUGCCCUAAAAAUCCUCUGUGCUCUGCAUGUUCAUUCCUCCCUCCUCCCACCCCACCACCCCAAACCCUGGCAGCCACUGAUAUUUUUACUAUCUCCAUAGUAAUAAAUAAAUAAAUUGUGAUACAUCCAACCAAUGAAAUACUAUUCAGCGCUAAAACGGAAUGAGCUAUCCGACAUGAAAUGACUUAAAUGCAUAUUACUUAAAAGACUUCUAUGCGUAUUACUAAGGGAAAGAGGACAAUAUGAAAAGAUUCCAUACUGUAUGAUUCCAACUAUAUGACAUUCUGGAAAAGGCAAAAGUAUGGAGACAGUAAGAAGGUCAGUGGUAUUUUUUUUGCCCAUUCUCUUCCUGAGGCUUCAUGGAUACUGUACUUUCUGUCUCUGUUUCUUUCUCCAGUUCUUUUUUUUUGUUUUUUCGGCCGUGCUGCGCGGCUUGUGGGAUCUUAGUUCCCUGGCAUUUCCUCUUUCUCCCAUUCUUAAAGACUGAGGCACAUCCCAAGUUUCAGUCCCAAGCCCCCCACUUCUCUGCACUUUCUCCUUUGGAGUUCUCAUCCAUUCCUAACUUCACUUAAUCAUUCCACAAACAUUAAUUGAGCACCUGGUGUGUGCCAGACACUUGAGUUGGCCCCUGGUGACAGUGAGAGAUGAAUGAGUCAUGAGGCCCGCCCUCCAAGAGGAGAUGGACAAUGUUGCAAUACAAUGUGGACGGUAGUAGGAAGUCCUGGGUGAGGUAAGAACACAUAGAAGAGAUCAAAGAAGGCUUCCUGGAGGAGGUGACCCUUGAGCCGAUUGCUGCCAGGUACGCUAGCAGUGAGCCAGGUGAAUGAGGCGGGAAGAACAUUCAGGUGGAAGGAAUAACAUGUGCACAGGCAGACAAGGGGCCUGUCAAGGCACAUUGUGGACUUGGGUGUGGAAUGCAAGGGAUGCGGGGAGAGAGAGAGCCUCAGGCUGGCCCCGCAGGCUUUGAUCUGGAUUGCAGAGGGCCUUAUAUACUUAGUAGGCUGGGCUGGGGAAAAGACAACAUUUCUAGAACACAAUUUGAUUUAAAAUUUUUUUUUCUUUUUUCAUCUUUAUUGGAGUAUAAUUGCUUUACAAUGAUGUGUUAGUUUCUGCUGUACAACAAAGUGAAUCAGCUAUGUGUAUACAUAUAUCCCCAUAUCUCCUCCCUCUUGAGCCUCCCUCCCACCCUCCCUAUCCCACCCCUCUAGGUGGUCACAGAGCA